AGACAAGAAGGAGCUCCAAACAAGAUGGAGCUUGGAGCUGAUGUUCCUCUGUGUAAGAUGGAGCUACAAGCUAGAUGGAGCUUGGAGUGAAAGGAGCUCAGAGCAGAUGGUGCUCAGAGCAAGAUGGAGCUCGGAGUGAUUGGAUCACUGAGCAAGAUGGAGCUCAGAGCAGAUGGAGCUCUGAGCAAGACAGAACUCUGCAGAUGGAGUUCUGAGCAAGAUAGAGCUCAGAGCAGAUGGAGCUCUGAGCAGGUUAAGCUCUGAACAGAUUAAGCUCAGAAAAGAAGGAGCUCCAAGCAAGAUGGAACUUGGAGCUCAUGUUCCUCUGUGUAAGAUGGAGCUCAGAGCUAGAUGGAGCUUGGAGUGAAAGGAGCUCUGAGCAAGGUAGAGCUCAGAGUAGAUGAUGGAACUCUGAGCAAGAUAGAACUCAGAGCAGAUGGAGCUCUGAGCAAGAUGGAGCUCAGAAGCAGAUGGAGCUUCAAUCAGAUGGUGCUCAGAGCAAGAUGGAGCUUGGAGUAAUUGGAGUUUCAAACUAGAUGGAGCUCAGAUCAGAUAGACCUCUGAGCAACAAGGAGCUCCAAGCAAGAUGAAGCUUGGAGCAGAUGUUGCUGGUGUAAGAUGGACCUCAGAGCAGAUAGUGCUUAGAGUAAGAGGCCGCUCAGAGUGAUUGGCACUCUGAACAUUGCUCUGAACAAUUGGAGCUCUGAGCAAGAUGCAGCUUAGAGUAGAUAGAG